rnacentral:misc_RNA from 1 species
UUUCUGUUGGUGAACCUGCGGAAGGAUCAUUCAUAAUAAGUAUUUUAUGGCACUUUUUUAAAUCCAUAUCCACCUUGUGUGCAAUGUCAGGGUUGGUCUCUUUUGAUCAGCCCCAAACAUCAACUAUUAUCUCAACUCUUUGUCUGAAAAAUAUUAUGAAUAAAACAAUUCAAAAUACAACUUUCAACAACGGAUCUCUUGGCUCUC